UUGGAGUGUGCCCCUGGCUAUAGGUAAAUGAUGUCUGAGUGUUGGAGUGUGACCCUGGCUAUAGGUAAAUUAUGUCUGAGUGUUGGAGUGUGACCCUGGCUAUAGGUAAAUGAUGUCUGAGUGUUGGAGUGUGACCCUGGCUAUAGGUAAAUGAUGUCUGAGUGUUGGAGUGGGACCCUGGCUAUAGGUAAAUGAUGUCUGAGUGUUGGAGUGUGACCCUGGCUAUAGGUAAAUGAUGUCUGAGUGUUGGAGUGGGACCCUGGCUAUAGGUAAAUGAUGUCUGAGUGUUGGAGUGGGACCCUGGCUAUAGGUAAAUGAUGUCUGAGUGUUGGAGUGUGACCCUGGCUAUAGGUAAAUGAUGUCUGAGUGUUGUAGUGGGACCCUGGCUAUAGGUAAAUGAUGUCUGAGUGUUGGAGUGUGACCCUGGCUAUAGGUAAAUGAUGUCUGAGUGUUGGAGUGGGACCCUGGCUAUAGGUAAAUGAUGUCUGAGUGUUGGAGUGGGACCCUGGCUAUAGGUAAAUGAUGUCUGAGUGUUGGAGUGUGACCCUGGCUAUAGGUAAAUGAUGUCUGAGUGUUGGAGUGUGACCCUGGCUAUAGGUAAAUGAUGUCUGAGUGUUGGAGUGUGACCCUGGCUAUAGGUAAAUGAUGUCUGAGUGUUGGAGUGUGACCCUGGCUAUAGGUAAAUGAUGUCUGAGUGUUGGAGUGUGACCCUGGCUAUAGGUAAAUGAUGUCUGAGUGUUGUAGUGGGACCCUGGCUAUAGGUAAAUGAUGUCUGAGUGUUGGAGUGUGACCCUGGCUAUAGGUAAAUGAUGUCUGAGUGUUGGAGUGUGACCCUGGCUAUAGGUAAAUGAUGUCUGAGUGUUGGAGUGUGACCCUGGCUAUAGGUAAAUGAUGUCUGAGUGUUGGAGUGUGACCCUGGCUAUAGGUAAAUGAUGUCUGAGUGUUGGAGUGUGACCCUGGCUAUAGGUAAAUGAUGUCUGAGUGUUGUAGUGGGACCCUGGCUAUAGGUAAAUGAUGUCUGAGUGUUGCAGUGGGACCCUGGCUAUAGGUAAAUGAUGUCUGAGUGUUGGAGUGUGACCCUGGCUAUAGGUAAAUGAUGUCUGAGUGUUGGAGUGGGACCCUGGCUAUAGGUAAAUGAUGUCUGAGUGUUGUAGUGGGACCCUGGCUAUAGGUAAAUGAUGUCUGAGUGUUGGAGUGGGACCCUGGCUAUAGGUAAAUGAUGUCUGAGUGUUGGAGUGUGACCCUGGCUAUAGGUAAAUGAUGUCUGAGUGUUGUAGUGUGACCCUGGCUAUAGGUAAAUGAUGUCUGAGUGUUGGAGUGUGACCCUGGCUAUAGGUAAAUGAUGUCUGAGUGUUGGAGUGGGACCCUGGCUAUAGGUAAAUGAUGUCUGAGUGUUGGAGUGUGACCCUGGCUAUAGGUAAAUGAUGUCUGAGUGUUGUAGUGUGACCCUGGCUAUAGGUAAAUGAUGUCUGAGUGUUGUAGUGUGACCCUGGCUAUAGGUAAAUGAUGUCUGAGUGUUGGAGUGUGACCCUGGCUAUAGGUAAAUGAUGUCUGAGUGUUGGAGUGGGACCCUGGCUAUAGGUAAAUGAUGUCUGAGUGUUGUAGUGGGACCCUGGCUAUAGGUAAAUGAUGUCUGAGUGUUGGAGUGGGACCCUGGCUAUAGGUAAAUGAUGUCUGAGUGUUGGAGUGUGACCCUGGCUAUAGGUAAAUGAUGUCUGAGUGUUGGAGUGGGACCCUGGCUAUAGGUAAAUGAUGUCUGAGUGUUGUAGUGGGACCCUGGCUAUAGGUAAAUGAUGUCUGAGUGUUGGAGUGGGACCCUGGCUAUAGGUAAAUGAUGUCUGAGUGUUGGAGUGUGACCCUGGCUAUAGGUAAAUGAUGUCUGAGUGUUGGAGUGUGACCCUGGCUAUAGGUAAAUGAUGUCUGAGUGUUGGAGUGUGACCCUGGCUAUAGGUAAAUGAUGUCUGAGUGUUGUAGUGGGACCCUGGCUAUAGGUAAAUGAUGUCUGAGUGUUGGAGUGUGACCCUGGCUAUAGGUAAAUGAUGUCUGAGUGUUGGAGUGUGACCCUGGCUAUAGGUAAAUGAUGUCUGAGUGUUGGAGUGUGACCCUGGCUAUAGGUAAAUGAUGUCUGAGUGUUGGAGUGGGACCCUGGCUAUAGGUAAAUGAUGUCUGAGUGUUGGAGUGUGACCCUGGCUAUAGGUAAAUGAUGUCUGAGUGUUGGAGUGGGACCCUGGCUAUAGGUAAAUGAUGUCUGAGUGUUGGAGUGUGACCCUGGCUAUAGGUAAAUGAUGUCUGAGUGUUGGAGUGUGACCCUGGCUAUAGGUAAAUGAUGUCUGAGUGUUGGAGUGUGACCCUGGCUAUAGGUAAAUGAUGUCUGAGUGUUGGAGUGUGACCCUGGCUAUAGGUAAAUGAUGUCUGAGUGUUGGAGUGUGACCCUGGCUAUAGGUAAAUGAUGUCUGAGUGUUGGAGUGUGACCCUGGCUAUAGGUAAAUGAUGUCUGAGUGUUGGAGUGUGACCCUGGCUAUAGGUAAAUGAUG